GAUGAACGCUGGCGGCGUGCCUAAUACAUGCAAGUCGAGCGAACGGACGAGAAGCUUGCUUCUCUGAUGUUAGCGGCGGACGGGUGAGUAACACGUGGAUAACCUACCUAUAAGACUGGGAUAACUUCGGGAAACCGGAGCUAAUACCGGAUAAUAUUUUGAACCGCAUGGUUCAAAAGUGAAAGACGGUCUUGCUGUCACUUAUAGAUGGAUCCGCGCUGCAUUAGCUAGUUGGUAAGGUAACGGCUUACCAAGGCAACGAUGCAUAGCCGACCUGAGAGGGUGAUCGGCCACACUGGAACUGAGACACGGUCCAGACUCCUACGGGAGGCAGCAGCAGGGAAUCUUCCGCAAUGGGCGAAAGCCUGACGGAGCAACGCCGCGUGAGUGAUGAAGGUCUUCGGAUCGUAAAACUCUGUUAUUAGGGAAGAACACAUGUGUAAGUAACUGUGCACAUCUUGACGGUACCUAAUCAGAAAGCCACGGCUAACUACGUG
rnacentral:rRNA from 1 species